UACGUAGGGUGCGAGCGUUAAUCGGAAUUACUGGGCGUAAAGCGUGCGCAGGCGGUUUGUUAAGUCAGAUGUGAAAUCCCCGGGCUUAACCUGGGAAUGGCAUUUGGGACUGCAAGGCUUGAGUGCGGCAGAGGAGACUGGAAUUCCUGGUGUAGCAGUGAAAUGCGUAGAUAUCAGGAGGAACACCGAUGGCGAAGGCAGGUCUCUGGGCUGACACUGACGCUCAUGCACGAAAGCGUGGGGAGCAAACAGG
rnacentral:rRNA from 1 species